UUGGAGGGCAAGUCUGGUGCCAGCAGCCGCGGUAAUUCCAGCUCCAAUAGCGUAUAUUAAAGUUGUUGCAGUUAAAAAGCUCGUAGUUGAAUUUCGGGAUCAGUACGUUGGUCGUGCCUUAGGUACGUACUGGUGUUACUGGUUCCUACCUUCUGACGAACCAUCAUGUCAUUCAUUUGGUGUGGCGGGGAAUCAGGACUGUUACUUUGAAAAAAUUAGAGUGUUUAAAGCAGGCUCGCGCUUGAAUACAUUAGCAUGGAAUAAUGAAAUAGGACGUUGAUCCUAUUUUGUUGGUUUCUAGGAUUGACAUAAUGAUUAAUAGGGAUAGUUGGGGGCAUUAGUAUUCAAUUGUCAGAGGUGAAAUUCUUGGAUUUAUUGAAGACUAACUACUGCGAAAGCAUUUGCCAAGGAUGUUUUCAUUAAUCAAGAACGAAAGUUAGGGGAUCGAAGACGAUCAGAUACCGUCGUAGUCUUAACCAUAAACUAUGCCGACUAGGGAUCGGAUGAUGUUAUUUUUAAUGACUCAUUCGGCGCCAUACGGGAAAC
rnacentral:rRNA from 1 species